rnacentral:rRNA from 1 species
CUACGGGGGGCUGCAGUGGGGAAUUUUGCGCAAUGGGGGAAACCCUGACGCAGCAACGCCGCGUGUAGGAUGAAGGCUCUUGGGUCGUAAACUACUGUCGCAGGGGAAGAAACUACAAUCAGGUAAUAUUUGGUUGUAUUGACGGUACCUUGCAAGAAAGCACCGGCUAACUACGUGCCAGCAGCCGCGGUAAUACGUAGGGUGCAAACGUUGUUCGGAAUUAUUGGGCGUAAAGCGUAUGUAGGUGGAUUUGUAAGUCGGGUGUGAAAUCCCACAGCUUAACUGUGGAACUGCGCUCGAAACUAUGAAUCUAGAGGAAGGUAGAGGCAGGUGAAUACCUGGUGUAGAGGUGAAAUUCGUAGAUAUCAGGUGGAACACUCGUGGCGAAGGCGGCCUGCUGGACCUCUCCUGACACUGAGAUACGAAAGCGUGGGGAGCAAACAGGAUUAGAUACCCGGGUAGUC